CGUUAAGGUGAUGAAGAUUUAAUCGGAAUCUUAAUAUGUCGAUCAAAAAAUCAUACUACAAUUAUCUGAUGAACG